rnacentral:scRNA from 1 species
GUCUGGGUUAGCUAAAUUAACCGACUGGGU